UCGGGAAUCUUGCACAAUGGGCGAAAGCCUGAUGCAGCAACGCCGUGUGAGCGAGGAAGGCCUUCGGGUCGUAAAGCUCUGUUGUUGGGGACGAAGGGCGAAGGGUUAAUAGCCCCCAGCCUGACGGUACCCUUCGAGGAAGCCCCGGCUAACUACGUGCCAGCAGCCGCGGUAAUACGUAGGGGGCGAGCGUUGUCCGGAAUUAUUGGGCGUAAAGAGCGUGUAGGCGGCCCGGUAAGUCUGCCGUGAAAACCUGGGGCUCAACCCCGGGCGUGCGGUGGAUACUGCUGGGCUAGAGGAUGGUAGAGGCGAGUGGAAUUCCCGGUGUAGCGGUGAAAUGCGCAGAGAUCGGGAGGAACACCAGUAGCGAAGGCGGCUCGCUGGGCCAUUCCUGACGCUGAGACGCGAAAGCUAGGGGAGCGAACAGGAUUAGAUACCCCCGUAGUCC
rnacentral:rRNA from 1 species